CAGGAGAGGACAGGCUGCGUGAGUGAUGAGCAGGAGGGUACAGAGCUGGGAGACACCAUAAGGACUGUGAGAAGAUAAGGUGCUGAAGGUCCACUGAGGAGGCUGUAGGAAUACAAAAGACUGAGGACGAAGGUCAGAGACAGGAGACACUUAGAGGAUGGGUGAGAGCGGGAGGGUCAGGAAAACAGUAGAACUGUAGGUUUGGAAAGACCAGAAAAGCAGAGAGUUCUGGAAGGAGCUAGCUCCCCUAGCACACCUCCUGCCUAACCAAGCUGGGAAACUAAAAAGGCAUUGGUCUUCUGGGGGAUGGCUCAGCCCUUCACUGAACAUUUCAACUCGGAUCCUAGAGGUGCCAUUGUUUCUGAGGCAGUACGGCUAGCAGCUAAGUGAAGAGCCUGCCUAGAAGGAGAAGAAGGGCCUUUCUGGUGAGCCCAGAGGGGUGAGGUGGCUCAGGUCACCUGGUCCCUCCACAGAAAAGGGUGGACACUUGGACACUGA
rnacentral:lncRNA from 1 species